rnacentral:rRNA from 1 species
AAUCAACGCUGGCGGCGCGCUUAACACAUGCAAGUCGAACGAGAAAGUGGAGCAAUCCAUGAGUAAAGUGGCGUACGGGUGAGUAACACGUGGAUCAUCUGCCUCUUAGUGGGGAAUAACUCUGGGAAACUGGAGCUAAUACCGCAUAAGCCUGGAAAGGGAAAGCGUUGUCGUAAAAAACGACGCGCUGAGAGAGGAGUCCGCGGCCGAUUAGCUAGUUGGUAGGGUAAAAGCCUACCAAGGCUUUGAUCGGUAGCCGGCCUGAGAGGGCACACGGCCACACUGGCACUGAAACACGGGCCAGACUCCUACGGGAGGCAGCAGUGGGGAAUCUUGCACAAUGGGGGCAACCCUGAUGCAGCGACGCCGCGUGAGCG